rnacentral:rRNA from 1 species
UGGGGAAUCUUGCACAAUGGGGGAAACCCUGAUGCAGCGACGCCGCGUGAGCGAUGAAGCCCUUCGGGGUGUAAAGCUCUUUCGGCAGGGACGAUAAUGACGGUACCUGCAGAAGCAGCUGCGGCUAACUACGUGCCAGCAGCCGCGGUAAUACGUAGGCAGCGAGCGUUGUUCGGAGUUACUGGGCGUAAAGGGUGUGUAGGCGGUCCUGUAAGUCUGGUGUGAAAUCUCCCGGCUCAACUGGGAGGGUGCGCCGGAAACUGCAGGGCUAGAGUGCGGGAUGGGAGAGUAGAAUUCCUGGUGUAGCGGUGAAAUGCGUAGAUAUCAGGAGGAAUACCUGUGGUGUAGACGGCUCUCUGGACCGCGACUGACGCUGAGACACGAAAGCGUGGGUAGCAAACAGGAUUAGAUACCCCCGUAGUCC